GUAGUCAUAUGCUUGUCUCAAAGAUUAAGCCAUGCAUGUCUAAGUAUAAGCAAUUUAUACGGUGAAACUGCGAAUGGCUCAUUAAAUCAGUUAUAGUUUAUUUGAUAGUACCUUACUACAUGGAUACCUGUGGUAAUUCUAGAGCUAAUACAUGCUAAAAACCCCGACUUCGGAAGGGGUGUAUUUAUUAGAUAAAAAACCAACGCCCUUCGGGGCUCCUUGGUGAAUCAUAAUAACUUAACGAAUCGCAUGGCCUUGCGCCGGCGAUGGUUCAUUCAAAUUUCUGCCCUAUCAACUUUCGAUGGUAGGAUAGUGGCCUACCAUGGUGGCAACGGGUAACGGGGAAU
rnacentral:rRNA from 1 species